rnacentral:lncRNA from 10 species
AUUUUCAGAUUGCUCCUGUGUUUCAUAGAUGGGAAAUCAUACUGAUGACUCAACCAUAUAUAGCAUUAUUUUGCUGGUUCAUGCUACCUCAGCGGAAGCAGCUGCCAAAGGUCAUCUGACAUAAUAGCUGAUGAAUUCAAGCCCAGUGGAUUUCAUUUGCAAUUUUCAAUUUACUGAGGCCUCCAAACCCCACGGUGAUAAAAGCUUCCCCUAUCGUGGCCUGUCACAAACAUCAAGAAACUGCACAAACCCACAAGAAAGAAAAAAGAGAAAGCUGUGCAUCAUCACAGCUAUAGAUAAGGAGAACAGGAAGAAAUGGUAUCAUGCAGGAAGAUGGGGAGCAGCCUGUGUGGCUAGUUCUCUAAAUGCCAAUUGAAACGAAAAGACUAUGAGGAACAAUCAAAUAACUUCCACAGAAUAACAACAUGUUUCUUUGGAGCUUUUAUGUGAAAAUUGCCUUCUAAUCUCUGACUUGACAUGCUCCCACACAAAAAUGUAAGUGUAAAUAUGCAAAUAAAUAAAUGAAUAAAUAAGAUAAAUGGUAGAUCCUUUGAUUGAUUUGCCAGGGAAGUCAAAGGACUGACAUAGCAACUACUUGUAAGUGGAUCUAGAUGUAGUACAUAUCAAAGAUGCAUUAGCAAGAAGAAGAAAGCCAUUUUUCCCCCUGUCAAACUAUUUACAAUGAACUUAGGCAGGAUCGGGAACUGAAUCCUGUUCCCAGGCAGUUGUUCAAAUUGAGCAAACCAUAUGUGUGUUUCUUGGAGAAUAGCAAGUUUGAUAACUCAGCAGGUCACCUUUGUCCUAUCCUACUUGACUCA